rnacentral:rRNA from 1 species
AUGGCCCAAGAACACGCUCAUUCUUCAGCCGUAGAGAGACUUUUGAAUUGUGAGGUACCAUUACGAGCUCAAUAUAUAAGAGUGUUAUUCUCUGAAAUAACUCGAAUUUCAAAUCAUUCACUUGCUUCAACUACUCAUGCUAUGGAUGUGGGAGUGUCAACUCCGUUCCUUUGGGCUUUUGAGGAGCGGGAGAAAUUGUUGGAAUUCUAUGAAAGAGUCCCGGGAGCCAGGAUGCAUGCCAGUUUCAUACGACCUGGUGGAGUGGCACAAGAUCUGCCUCUUGGCUUAUGUCGAGAUAUUGAUUCCUCCACACAACAAUUUGCUUCUCGUAUCGACGAAUUAGAAGAGAUGUCAACCGGCAACCGUAUCUGGAAACAACGAUUAGUGGAUAUUGGUACUGUCACUGCACAACAAGCAAAGGAUUGGGGAUUCAGUGGUGUAAUGUUAAGAGGUCGUGCGACAUGA